ACUUUGAAACAUACAGUGAAAAAUGCAUUGUUUGCAUCAAAUGAAAUUGGCGAGGAUUCUGCUGGGCCGCCCACAAAUGUCGCCAAACUUCCGGUGCCAACGUAGCAUGCCCGCAACUCGCUAAUCUUUGCUGCUUCAGCACAACACUGUGGGCCAAAGGACCUGUUCCUGUGCUGUACUGUUCUAUGUUCUUCCAAGUGCUCUGGUUUCUUCUCACACCCAAGGACAUGCAGAUCGAAUUCUUUUGAAGACCCUGACCUGGAGCUACUUCAGUUCCUUGCGAGAGUGGGACCUGUUUUCGGGGUUCCACGACUUGCCGUUAUUCGACAUGCCAAGUGUUCGGAAGCCUAAGGUCUUGGGGCUCUGGAGACGGGCGGAUUGAGGGUCGGUGUCACGGCAGGAGACUCACGAGUCAUCAAGGAGGAUGGAUAAUCUUUCACUGUGGGCCCGAAGACCCGAAGUCUUUGUGAUCUUCAGACUCAGAGCUCAAAAAAAGCGAUGAAAUGGACUUUUAACAUCAUAAACCAGUAGCUAUACAGUGGAGAGCAUCCUGACUGGCUACAUCAAGGCCUUUUAUGGAAACGCCAGUGCCCAAGAGUGGAAAAGUCUACAAAAAGUAAUGGAUACAGCCCAGACAAUCACAAGCAAUGUCUCCCUAACAUUGAGCAGAUCUCCAAGAAGCACUGUCACACAUCUAUUAUCAAGGGCCCUGCAUAUAGACCAUGCUCUCUUCUCGCUGCUGCUGUCAGGAAGGAGGCACAGGAAUCUUAGGUCCCACACCACCAUGUUCAGGAAUAGUUACUACCCUACAACUAUCAGGGUCCUGAACCAGCUGAACCAGCCUUCACUCAUCUCGACUCUGGACUGAUUUCACAAUGGAUGACUCACUUUCAAGGACUCUAUAAUGCAUGUUCUCAGUUAAUAUCUAUCUAUUUAUUUAUCUGUCUAAUUAAUUUAUUGUUGUUGUAUUCACACAGUUUGCUUUUUGUCACUCUUUGUGUGUACUUUUCCAUUGAUUCUAUUGUAUUUCUUUUUCUACUGUGAAUGCCUUCAAGAAAGUUAAUCUAAGGAUAGUAUAGGGUACUUUGAUAAUAAAUUUACUUUGAACUUUGGAACUUUGAGAUAGAUGAUUAUGAGUUCAAGUCCCACUCCAGAGACUUUAGUUUAAAAAUAUAGGCUAAUAAUCCAGUCUGGGGAGAGUAUCGCACUGCUGGAGGUGCCCAGUUUAGGGUAAGGUUUCUUCUAUCACCUUAGGGUGGUGUAAAAGGUCCCAUGUGACACUUAGAAGGAAAGCAAGGUCUGAAGUAAUCAGAAGUUAUGGGAAUCAGACCAUGGAAAUAGGAUGAUCUGUGAAGGACUUGAAGGUGCAACAGACACAAGGGGGCAUAUAGCUUGAUGUCUUCUGUUUCUUGUGCUUCACUGCACCAGUGUUGGCUGCUGAAUUGAUAACAUUGGCUGGUGUGAAAGACAGUGGUCUUGCAUCUUUAAAGUAAAUAAUAUAAAGGGGCAAUUUAACAUUCUGGGUGAUCAAGAUAAUGAGAGAGUAGAUGGAGGAAAAGCCAUUUCCUUAGCUAGAUGUCUAGAACAAAAGGGAAUAGUCUUAAUAUUAGAUUCUGCUUCUUCAGAGAGGAUAUCAGGAAAUAUUUCUUCAUAACUGUGAGAAGAUAGUUGGCAAUUCAUUUUUUUUAAAAGUUACUGAAACUUGAAGCCAGUUGUAAAAUUUCAGGAGUUGGCUUUGGCAUUUUUGUUAAUUCAGUUAAAAUACAGUCGAACUACAAUGUAACUGAAGGUCAGAACAUGUUUAAGGGUAGAUUGGCCUAACCAUGGUUUGAGUUUCUAGAAAGCAUUCUUCCAAUACAGUUGAUUCUGGUUAAUUGGGAAAUCAGAAAUUCAGGGCAGCUGCUUAUGUGGGACAACAUUUAAAGAACAAAAACUAAUAGAGUAAAUAACCAGGAUUCCUUUCGUUUAUUUGGGACAUGAGGCUGUUGUUGAGCCGUUUCCAUUGCAUGCAUUAAUGUGGCCAUUAGACACUACACUGAACUUGGAGAAAAUAGUUCUUAAAUAGCGUCAGUUGCGCGUGUUUGUAUUAAAAAAGUAGUGAUUCUUGCCACUCGCAGUUGGUGAGAAAUAAACAGUAAGACUGUUCAGAACCAAUUUGCUCACAGUGGUUUCAAACAUUCAGGCUCGGAGAUGCCAGAAACGGCCAGGAGUGCAAAGGAAAUAAUUUCACUACAUCAACAGUUAGGAACAAUGAAGAAUGUGAAGGUAUCGACAUUCAUCUUGAAUGUUACAAUGAAUACGAUGAUUUGCAUUGUGCAAUUGUCGAAAGCCUUAUAUGAAGGCAGUCCAGUAUCUGCACUGCGUCUCUGGGCUGAUUUAGUUCAUUUACAGUCAAUUAAAAUAAAACAGCAGCAUGCACUGGAUGAAUUCUUCCUUCAAUAACCAUUAGGAACUAAUACACAGUUUUAUAUUACUGUAGUA